rnacentral:rRNA from 1 species
CCCUUAGAUGUCCGGGGCUGCACGCGCGCUACACUGUAGAAAGCAGCGUGCUUUAAAACCUUUCCUGAAAAGGAUGGGUAACCCCAGCAAAAUUCUACGUGCUUGGGAUAGAGAUUUGCAAUUUUCUCUCUUGAACGAGGAAUUCCCAGUAAGUGCGAGUCAUCAGCUCGCGUUGAUUACGUCCCUGCCCUUUGUACACACCGCCCGUCGCUACUACCGAUUGGGAAAAUUUUAGAGAGUCCUGGACUGAUGAUUGUUCGGCUUCACGGCCUUACUUUCGUCGGGAAAGAAUUCGAUAAUAUUUUUCUAGAGGAAGUAAAGUCGUAACA